UACAAAGCAAACCCUCCGAGCCCGUGAAGGGGGUUUUGUGGAGGAAUAAAGCUCAUUGUCAGCUGCCGUGUUCAGACCCUUGGGAAAUUGUGACCAUUGUCUGGGCUAUUAUGGCUUAAUAAAAGCUUUGCAUUUCCUCAUUCAGGGGCUUGAGAAUCUGGUUCUGUGCUUUUAAAAAUAACUCAGCGUGAGCCACAAUUGGGAGCAUUCACAGAGGAAAUUCUUCAGCCGUUUAAAACAAAGUGAAGGGAGGGAAAAAAAGCUCUCCUUAAAGUGCUUUUAUACUUGUCCGUGAAGAGCGAGUGUGUCCCGGCCGUGCUUCUGGAGGAACCACAGUGAGGUUGGAGCCUGGUCCUGCUCCUGCUGAAGGUUUCUUUGCUUCCAGCCUUCAAGGAUUUUGGGACCAGCACUAUCCCAGCUGGGGGAUCUGCCCUGGAUGCAUCCUCUUGGGAUGGAGGGAUGGUCUGCCUCUCGUGGGUGAGCAGCUCUGGGCAGGCUCCAGACAGAUGAGUAGGGAGCUGGCUACAGAAGAGGAACAGAUUCCAGUUUUCCAGCUGGUCGCCCUGUACAGAGAAAAACCCUCGAGAUCAAAGCUGGGAGAAAGAAGACAAGUGGUGGAGGAGUCAAUGUGUGACAUGGAACAGGUCUGA
rnacentral:lncRNA from 1 species